CAGGAUCUUCUUGAUUUGCAGAGGAGGUGAUGUUCUAUGUCACUCUGCUUCUGUUGCAUCACAGCCUUCACUCUGUGUGAAAACCAGUGGCACUGCCACCCCACUACCUGGCUUCUGGGGACCACACUGAGAGCAGAAAGCAGGAAAAGGUCACACAGUGUGACAUGCCUUGCCACUGGCUGUCAUCCUGUGCAUCCCAGCUCUGCAUCUACUCCCUGUGCCAGGGCAGCGUUGGUGCAAAAAAAGUGCUUUGAAUUCAUCACUGUGUUUGUUCACAUGCAAGUGUGCCAGAAGGACUUGCCUAAUUCAUCCCCUAGACUUCAACCAAGCUGUAGCUGAAGGUACCUUGAUGGUCUCACCUGAAGUAGCCUCCUCAGGCUGCAUGGUGCAGCACAAGCAAACAUUUUGGGGACCAGACCACCACUGCACCUAGGCAUGAGGGAUUUGUUUUGCCAGUGUGUGACUGAAGGAGUGAGGAGCAGAUCAGUGCUGGCAUGGAGACAAACCUGCAGAAGGUCAUCAGGAGCCCAGGGGCAAGGCCAGGCAAAUAAUAAAGAGCUGUAGCAGGUGAGGUUGGCUGAAGAUAACAGCUCAGGUUGGUCCCAUUCUGCUUCUCCAGCUGCUGCUACCCCAUUACUCCUCUUCAUUAAAUAUUUCCAGUUCACAUCUUCCCAACAGGAAAAGGGUAAUUACCAGACUUAAGGGUUUCUGCAUGCAUUUCCAAGAUAGCCUCAGUCAAUUUUCCUUCUUUCCUGCCAAUCUGUGUGUCCAGUUCUCUUUCGCUGUGUGUAAGGAAAGCAAACACAGUGCUGGAUAUGGUGUGAGUGCUGCUGCUGUGGGGUUCCAGUCUGCAGCACAUAAGCACCAGCCCAUCCUUCAUUUGCAAAAUCCAUCCUGUGGAACCUGAUGUUAAGGCUAACAGCUCUUCCCUUCUUUUUUCUUUAGAUCCUCUGA